CGCCAGCCUGACGGAGCCAGACCGCGUGGGGGAGGAAGGCCCUUGGGUUGUAAACCCCUUUUCUCAGGGAAGAAACCUGACGGUACCUGAGGAAAAAGCCUCGGCUAACUCCGUGCCAGCAGCCGCGGUAAUACGGAGGAGGCAAGCGUUAUCCGGAAUUAUUGGGCGUAAAGCGUCCGCAGGUGGCGAUUCAAGUCUGCUGUCAAAGCACGGGGCUUAACUCCGUUAAGGCAGUGGAAACUGAAUAGCUAGAGUGCCGUAGGGGUAGAGGGAAUUCCCGGUGUAGCGGUGAAAUGCGUAGAGAUCGGGAAGAACAUCGGUGGCGAAAGCGCUCUACUGGACGGCAACUGACACUCAGGGACGAAAGCUAGGGGAGCG
rnacentral:rRNA from 1 species